UUGGCCUAGAAUGCAAGUCGAACGGGCUGUUUAUGCAGCCAGUGGCGGACGGGUGAGUAACACGUAGGUGACCUACCCCAAAGUCUGGGACAACUAGGAGAAAUCUUAGCUAAUCCUGGAUGUGGACAUCUACUUUGGUGGAUGUUUAAAGCUUCGGCGCUUUGGGAUGGGCCUGCGGCGCAUCAGGUAGUUGGUGGGGUAAUGGCCUACCAAGCCGACGACGCGUAGCUGGUCUGAGAGGACGAUCAGCCACAGGGGUACUGAGACACGGACCCCACUCCUACGGGAGGCAGCAGUUAGGAAUCUUCCGCAAUGGGCGAAAGCCUGACGGAGCGAUACCGCUUGAAGGACGAAGCCCUUCGGGGUGUAAACUUCUGAACUCGGGACGAUAAUGACGGUACCGAGGUAAUAGCACCGGCUAACUCCGUGCCAGCAGCCGCGGUAAUACGGAGGGUGCGAGCGUUACCCGGAUUUACUGGGUGUAAAGGGCGUGUAGGCGGUCUCUCAAGUCCGAUGCUAAAGACCGAAGCUCAACUUCGGGGGUGCGUUGGAUACUGUGAGGCUAGACGGUCGGAGAGGGUAGCGGAAUUUCCGGAGUAGCGGUGAAAUGCGCAGAUACCGGAAGGAACGCCAAUAGCGAAAGCAGCUACCUGGACGAUUUGUGACGCUGAGGCGCGAAAGCGUGGGGAGCAAACCGGAUUAGAUACCCGGGUAGUCCACGCCCUAAACGAUGAGUGCUGGGUGUCCGACAUCUGUUGGGUGCCGUAGCUAACGCGUUAAGCACUCCACCUGGGAAGUACGGUCGCAAGACUGAAACUCAAAGGAAUUGACGGGGGCCCGCACAAGCGGUGGAGCAUGUGGUUUAAUUCGAAGCAACGCGCAGAACCUUACCAGGUCUUGACAUCCACGGAACCCUGGUGAAAGCCGGGGGUGCCCGCA
rnacentral:rRNA from 1 species